CCUACGGGAGGCAGCAGUGAGGAAUAUUGGUCAAUGGUCGGGAGACUGAACCAGCCAAGCCGCGUGAGGGAGGAAGGUACAGAGUAUCGUAAACCUCUUUUGUCAGGGAACAAAGGCGGGGACGUGUCCCCGGCUGAGUGUACCUGAAGAAAAAGCAUCGGCUAACUCCGUGCCAGCAGCCGCGGUAAUACGGAGGAUGCGAGCGUUAUCCGGAUUUAUUGGGUUUAAAGGGUGCGCAGGCGGUCUGUUAAGUCAGCGGUCAAAGCCCGGGGCUCAACCCCGGCCCGCCGUUGAAACUGGCAGUCUCGAGUGGGAGAGAAGUAUGCGGAAUGCGCGGUGUAGCGGUGAAAUGCAUAGAUAUCGCGCAGAACUCCGAUUGCGAAGGCAGCAUGCCGGCUCCACACUGACGCUGAGGCACGAAAGCGUGGGUAUCGAACAGGAUUAGAUACCCUUGUAGUC
rnacentral:rRNA from 1 species